CAUUCUGAGAAAUACAAAGUAGUACAGACAAAAACAAAAUUGAGAAAUUCUUUCCAUUAAUCCUUGUAGUUCAAGGUAUAUACUGAUUUGGGGUAAUAAUGUGACACUUUAACUUAAGAAAAACAACAUCAAACUUUCCAUUAGCCCAGAAUACAGGCUAUUAUUUAUGUUAUCUGCAUGAUUUUUAACCAGGUGUAACAGCCUGAACCAUUGGUUUUUUAAUGGAAUUCAGUGUCUUCAGUGUAUAUACAUGUGGAUUCUCUUGCCACCUCAUCUUUCCAUAAUUUGAUGAUGCUUCACCCUAUUUACCUUUAUGCAUUUGUAUCCAUACAUUGAUCCUUUUAUUGAUCAAUUUAUUAUGAUAGAGUAAAAACUCAUUUAAAAAGGCCAAAUAAGAUCCUUAUAUAUUCUUAAAUAAUCUAUAGGAUUAUUUCUAAAAGAGGCAAUAACCUAUAUUCCUUCCUUCUUGGACCUCAGAGUUCCAGACAUACAUUCAUCACACAUGACUUAUAUGCCACCAGUGGACAUCCUUGAUCCAGGCUUGGCUCUCAUUUUCUUCAUUCAUAUCACUGAAUAAUACAUCAAUAAUCUAAUAGUACUAAAAUAAAUACCAAGAAUCACAAAAACUAGAAGACGAGAUUCUUGAAUAUUUCUAACAUCUGCCUAUGGAAUAAGCAGAAAUAUAAUAAUAUUUCUAAUAUCUGCCUAUGGAUCAACUGACCUCAAGGCUUCAUAUAUAAUAAUUACAUUUUUUACAUUUGGGUGAUGGUUGGCAGUCACUGAUUAAAUUUUGCACUUACUGAAUACCCUUCAGAAGAACGCUGAAACUGAGACAAGAAGUUUGACUAUUACGUCAGUCUCCAUGUUCCUAACACGUGGAGACAACCACUGAUCUCAUAGCCACAGAACAUAAAAAUCAGCUCGGGUCUGUCCAUUCUGAGGAGUACAGAGCAGACUAAAAACAUUGAGACCUAAUCUCUGUUGAUCCUGCCUUUCUGCAUUGCAUUUAUUCAGUGAUUUGGUGGCAACCACAAAUCUCAUGACCAUGAAUGCUUAGGUCGGCUCAAGUGCAUCCAUUCUGCAGAAUACAAAGAGCAGUGUCCAGGCUCCUACCCAGAGGCAACUGUGGAGAACGC